rnacentral:rRNA from 1 species
GAUGAACGCUGGCGGCGUGCUUAACACAUGCAAGUCGAACGAUGAACCGGGUGCUUGCACUCGGGGAUUAGUGGCGAACGGGUGAGUAACACGUGAGCAACCUGCCCCUGACUCUGGGAUAAGCGCUGGAAACGGCGUCUAAUACUGGAUAUGUCCCGUCACCGCAUGGUGUGCGGGUGGAAAGAUUUUUCGGUUGGGGAUGGGCUCGCGGCCUAACAGCUUGUUGGUGAGGUAAUGGCUCACCAAGGCGUCGACGGGUAGCCGGCCUGAGAGGGUGACCGGCCAAACUGGGACUGUGACACGGCCCAGACUCCUACGGGAGGCAGCAGUGGGGAAUAUUGCACAAUGGGCGGAAGCCUGAUGCAGCAACGCCGCGUGAGGGAUGACGGCCUUCGGGUUGUAAACCUCUUUUAGCAGGGAAGAAGCGAGAGUGACGGUACCUGCAGAAAAAGCACCGGCUAACUACGUGCCAGCCGCCGCGGUAA